CCGUUCGCCUGGGGACUACGAGCACUAGCUUAAAACCCAAAGGACUUGGCGGUGCUUUAGAUCCACCUAGAGGAGCCUGUUCUGGAACCGAUAACCCCCGUUUAACCUCACCCUCCCUUGCUUAUUCCGCCUAUAUACCGCCGUCGUCAGCUUACCCUGUGAAGGCAGCAUAGUAAGCAAAACCAGUACAACUCAAAACGUCAGGUCGAGGUGUAGCAUACGGGAGGGGAAGAAAUGGGCUACAUUCUCUGGUUAAGAGAAUACGGAUAAUGACAUGAAAAAUCAUUUGAAGGAGGAUUUAGUAGUAAGCAAAAAGCAGAGUGUUUUGCUGAAACCGGCCCUGAAGCGCG
rnacentral:rRNA from 2 species